rnacentral:rRNA from 1 species
AUUGAACGCUGGCGGCAGGCCUAACACAUGCAAGUCGAGCGGAUGAAGCACUCUUGCUCUUGUCUUCAGCGGCGCACGUGUGUGUAAUGCCUAUGAUUCUGCCUGCUCGUGGGGAUUAACGCCCGGAACCGUGCUUUAUUCCCGCUUUCGUCCUGUGUGAGAUAGUGUGUGGUCUUCGGAUCUUCCGCUAUCAGUUUACCCUAGGUCGAUUUAGCUUGUUGGUGGGUUAAAGGCCUACCAAGGCUCCCAUCCGUACCUGGUCUGUGAGGAUGAUCAGUCACACUGGAACGGAGACACGGUCAAGACGACUAAGAGAGGCAGCAGUGGGGAAUAUUGGACAAUGGGCGAAAGCCUGAGCCAGUCAGGCCGCGUGUGUGAAGAAGGUCUUCGGAGAGUAAAGCACUCUAAGGUGGGAGGAAGGGCAGUAAGUAAAGACCAAGCUGAUUUGACGUUACCAACAGAAGAAGCACCGGCUAACUACGUG